rnacentral:rRNA from 1 species
AUGAGUCUCCUAAGCUGGAACUGCCGGGGUCUGGGGCAACCCCGGACAGUUCAGGAGCUAGUGUGUUUAGUGCACACUUACAAGCCCAAGCUUGUGUUCCUCUCUGAGACGCGGCAAAGCAAUUCGUAUGUCAAUAAGUUAAGGUGGAGGCUUGGCCUCAAGCAUUGUAUCAUGCAGCCCGGCAUCGGCAAAGGUGUGGGUAUUGCGCUUUUCUAUGAUGAAAGUGUCGAAUGGUGAUGCACCUUUAUAUAUGGUGAACCGAAAGCAAGUGAUAGGCACCACAUGUGGGAAUUACUAAGAAGAACAAAAUGUAACUCAAGUGCCCCU